rnacentral:rRNA from 1 species
UACGAAGGUGGCGAAUGUUGCUCGGAUUCACUGGGCGUAAAGCGUCUGUAGGUGGCUUGUUAAGUUAGAGGUGAAAGCCCCGCGCUCAACGUAGGGAACGUAGCCUUUAAAACCUUAGGCGAGCUUGAGAGUAUCAGAGGAAGGCGGAAUAACUGGUGUAGAGGUAAAAUUACAUAGAUAUCAGUUGGUAACAUCCAUGGCGAAGGCAGCUUUCUGAGGUAUUUCUGACACUGAGAGACGAAAGCGUGGGGAGC